rnacentral:rRNA from 1 species
UACGGAGGGUGCGAGCGUUGUCCGGAAUCAUUGGGCGUAAAGCGCGUGUAGGCGGCCCGGUAAGUCCGCUGUGAAAGUCGGGGGCUCAACCCUCGAAUGCCGGUGGAUACUGUCGGGCUAGAGUGCGGAAGAGGCGAGUGGAAUUCCUGGUGUAGCGGUGAAAUGCGCAGAUAUCAGGAGGAACACCAAUUGCGAAGGCAGCUCGCUGGGACGUGACUGACGCUGAGACGCGAAAGCGUGGGGAGCAAACAGG